GGCAUGAGUGCUGGGAUAUUCAGUAAUCGCUUUGGUUCGCUUCUGGCUCCCGUUGUCUUCAUCAUCAGCAACUAUGCCUCGAUUCUGAAGCCCUUGUUGUUUGGGAUGGUACCAAUCCUUUCUGCAACUUCUGUCUACUUCCUGACUGAGACGCGUGGCCUUCCAUUUCUGGACACCAUUCAGGAGACGGAGAACAGGAUGAAGAGACCAUGGUUUUUGAGGGAAAAUGCCCGUAAAGAUGAACAGAUCACUCCAUCCUUGCUCCCUCCUGCCAUGGCAGAAACAGAAAGCACAGUCUAAUGUUUUCUUUAAGACUUUGGUCCAUAUUUCUGAAGUCAAGUUUAGGUCAAGUUUUCAUCAUAUUUUCUUGCUUUGAAGUUAGAUCCGAUGUCUCCUGAUUGAGAAUGGCCACUGGCCACUGAGAGGGUGGAAUUAACUAGACAGGUCUAGAUUCUCUGCAAUUCAACCAAUUAAUAAUCUGAAAGGUUAAACAGCACAUCUCCAAAGGAGACCAAUUAAAAUGAAGAGAAAUACAUUGAUUCCUUUCCUCUACUUGGCUAUAUAAAGAAGUGUUGUCUUCUGGGAGAUGCCGCCCUUAUACUAUCUUGUAUUAUUCAAUAAUUAAGAUAUUGCAUGGAGUUGUAAGAAAAAUAUCUCUGGGAAAUUCUAUUUAAAUGAUUAUAAGACUUCUGAUGCCAAGGUGCUGACGCAAUUUAUAAUUUUCCUUUUGAUUAUAUCUUCUUGGACUAGUAAACUAAUCCUGUCCUCAAAUAAGAAAUACAAAUACAAAAGAAAGUAAAUAAAGCCUGCACUAAGAAAAUAACUUCGGACACCAGAGUCUCUUGGGAAACCAACAAAUCUAUCUGUACUUUUGAGAGUGCAUCUUUAGUGUGAAGAUUAAAAUCAUUAUAGAGUAAAA